AAUGGAGGCAACUCUGAUCCAGCCAUGCCGCGUGAAGGAAGACGGCCUAUGGGUUGUAAACUUCUUUUAUACAGGAAGAACCUUUCCACGUGUGGAAAGCUGACGGUACUGUAAGAAUAAGGAUCGGCUAACUCCGUGCCAGCAGCCGCGGUAAUACGGAGGAUCCAAGCGUUAUCCGGAAUUAUUGGGUUUAAAGGGUCCGCAGGCUGUUUGUUAAGUCAGAGGUGAAAUCCUACCGCUCAACGGUAGAACUGCCUUUGAUACUGGCAAACUUGAGUUAUUGUGAAGUAGUUAGAAUGUGUAGUGUAGCGGUGAAAUGCAUAGAUAUUACACAGAAUACCGAUUGCGAAAGCAGAUUACUAACAAUAUGCUGACGCUGAGGGACGAAAGCGUGGGUAGCGAACAGGAUU
rnacentral:rRNA from 1 species